GUGUACGCAGCUGUUCUGUUGUCAGCUGGGCCUGCAGACAGCGACCGUCAGGUGAUCAAAUCACCAGCUGUGUUGUUGUUGAGAGUGCGUCAAACAAGAGCAAUGACGCAGAGACUGGGCCGGUCGUUGUGAAAGUUCAGGCGGUGGUACCGUAAGUUAUCUCAAGUCUCAAGUGAUAAUCUAAUGUACUUAUUAUCUAAAUAACAAAACUGCUAAUCACAGAAUACUUAUGAUAUAAACGAGAUGCAGAUUUUUGUUUGUCUAUUAUCGAAAUAAUGUUAUAAAAAAUUCAACUCAUCUAAAAAUUUCGGACAGAAAUAAACUACCAGUAAAAUAUACAGCAUCAAUGCACUUUAAGACAAGAGCCAAGUGAAGUGUUAAAGCAAGGACAAGUGGUCGGCUGCUAUCUGGAACACGUCUCUGCCAUUACCACUACAAACAGAGAUAAGCCCGGGUCUUGCUGGCCAGAAGACAACGCUAUUGUUCGAUAGUGACCCUACACUGGACUUUGUCCCCACGAUAUCUCCUAAACACACCAUCACGGACCUUCCAGGAGCCUACUUUCUAGCCGUUCUUCACGGAGGUCAACAAAGAUGUUUGAACACUUUGUCUCCAAAUAAGCUAUAAGGAAAACUGACGACAGAUAAGAUAACUUAUUUCUUUAAAUUCUACAAAGCGCGAUAGCAGCUCUUUAAACAAUAUGUUAUUUAUGGAAUAACUGUAAAUCUUAUCCCAUGAUGUAGAUUGGUUCAAAUAAAUAACUUGAUGAUCCUGAUUUAAAA